CCUAGGGAGCAGCAGUGGGGAAUAUUGGACAAUGGGCGAAAGCCUGAUCCAGCCAUGCCGCGUGUGUGAAGAAGGCCUUCGGGUUGUAAAGCACUUUCAGUGGGGAAGAAAGCCUUGGGGCUAAUACCCUCGAGGAAGGACAUCACCCACAGAAGAAGCACCGGCUAACUCCGUGCCAGCAGCCGCGGUAAUACGGAGGGUGCGAGCGUUAAUCGGAAUUACUGGGCGUAAAGCGCGCGUAGGCGGUCUGAUAAGCCGGUUGUGAAAGCCCCGGGCUCAACCUGGGAACGGCAUCCGGAACUGUCAGGCUAGAGUGCAGGAGAGGAAGGUAGAAUUCCCGGUGUAGCGGUGAAAUGCGUAGAGAUCGGGAGGAAUACCAGUGGCGAAGGCGGCCUUCUGGACUGACACUGACGCUGAGGUGCGAAAGCGUGGGUAGCAAACAGGAUUAGAUACCCGAGUAGUC
rnacentral:rRNA from 1 species